GGUUGGUCUGCAGGUAGAGUUAUCUCAAUUGAUUGUUUAUGGUUACAGACUGAACCCUUGUUCUACUCUUUCCCCCUUCUCACUACUGCACUUGACCAGUCUUAU
ensembl:misc_RNA Y_RNA Y RNA